UCGGAAGGCAGCAGUGGGGAAUAUUGCACAAUGGGCGCAAGCCUGAUGCAGCCAUGCCGCGUGUAUGAAGAAGGCCUUCGGGUUGUAAAGUACUUUCAGCGGGGAGGAAGGCGAUGCGGUUAAUAACCGCGUCGAUUGACGUUACCCGCAGAAGAAGCACCGGCUAACUCCGUGCCAGCAGCCGCGGUAAUACGGAGGGUGCAAGCGUUAAUCGGAAUUACUGGGCGUAAAGCGCACGCAGGCGGUCUGUUAAGUCAGAUGUGAAAUCCCCGGGCUUAACCUGGGAACUGCAUUUUGAAACUGGCAGGCUUGAGUCUUGUAGAGGGGGUAGAAUUCCAGGUGUAGCGGUGAAAUGCGUAGAGAUCUGGAGGAAUACCGGUGGCGAAGGCGGCCCCUGGGACAAAGACUGACGCUCAGGGUGCGAAAGCGUGGGGAGCAAACGAGGAUUAGGAUA
rnacentral:rRNA from 1 species